GAUUGUGUAAUUGCUGUUAUAAACAGAGGAAAGUCCGGGCUCCAUGGGCAAAAGCGCCAGGUAACUCCUGGGUGACGCAAGUCAACGGAAAGUGCUACAGAAAAUAACCGCUAUAUAUAUAGCAAGGGUGAAAAGGUGAGGUAAGAGCUCACCGCUAGUUAUGGAGACAUGGCUAGGCAGAGUAAACCCCGCUUGGAGCAAGGCAAAUAUACAGAAUAUGUUGGGCCCUCAACUUGCUGUAUGGUAGGCUGCUAGAGGCUUUUGGCGACAAAAGUCCCAGAUCAAUAAUUACACUCGACAGAACCCGGCUUAUAGAUCAGCUCUU
rnacentral:RNase_P_RNA from 1 species